ACUCGAGUGGCGAACGGGUGAGUAACACGUGGGUGAUCUGCCCUGCACUUCGGGAUAAGCCUGGGAAACUGGGUCUAAUACCGGAUAGGAGCCAUUUUUAGUGUGAUGGUUGGAAAGUUUUUCGGUGUAGGAUGAGCUCGCGGCCUAUCAGCUUGUUGGUGGGGUAAUGGCCUACCAAGGCGGCGACGGGUAGCCGGCCUGGGAGGGUGUACGGCCACAUUGGGACUGAGAUACGGCCCAG
rnacentral:rRNA from 1 species